CCUACGGGAGGCUGCAGUAGGGAAUUUUCGUCAAUGGGCGCAAGCCUGAACGAGCAAUGCCGCGUGAACGAGGAAGGUCUUCGGAUCGUAAAGUUCUGUUGAAGGGGAAAAAGAGCGGAGAGAGGAAAUGCUUUCUGAUUGAUAUUACCCUUCGAGGACGUCACGGCUAACUACGUGCCAGCAGCCGCGGGAAUACGUAGGUGGCGAGCGUUAAUCGGAUUGAUUGGGCGUAAAGGGUGCGUAGGCGGCCUGCUAAGUCUGGAGUAAAAGGUACGGGCUGAACCGGAACAAGCUCUGGAAACUGGCGAGCUAGAGAGCAGGAGAGGGAGGUGGAACUCGAUGUGUAGCGGUAAAAUGCGUAGAUAUAUGGAAGAACACCAGUGGCGAAGGCGGCCGCCUGGCCUGUUACUGACGCUGAGGCACGAAAGCGUGGGUAGCAAAUAGGAUUAGAUACCCGGGUAGUC
rnacentral:rRNA from 1 species